GCUGCUGCUACAGCAGCAGCAGCUGCAGCUGCUGCUGCUGCUGCAGCUGCUGCAGCAGCAGCAGUGAAGCAGCAGAGUCUCUACU
rnacentral:snoRNA from 1 species